rnacentral:misc_RNA from 1 species
AGAGUGCAAAUUAUUCACUGUUACACGCAGAACAUCAGCGUACAUUUUUUCACGUGGCGUAAUACUCUAUCUUUACCCACACUAGACCACAGUUUGACGGUCACAGUAGCGGCUGAAGGAACACAGAUCAUGGUUCGAGCCUGGUACUUCGAUAACGAUGAGGAGGGGAACAAGAAGCUCCCGCACAUGACCGAUCCGCCCCAGUUUGUGGAUUUAGAAGGUCUGAAGAAGAUUGGCGUGCUUUACUGGAAGGUGGACGUGGACGGUGACGACAUGGAGGACGGAGGUCUGGUACCCAAACUGAAGGAGGAGCGGGGCUACAAACACGGAGACAGCAUUGCCAUCAGCAGAGAGCUCAUGCCGGAUUACGUGGACGUGAGCAAAAUGCUCUACACCGAGCACUUGCACCCCGACGAGGAGAUUCGCUUGGCAGUGGACGGCGUUGCCUAUUUUGAUGUCAGAGAUCUGGAGGACAAGUGGAUCCGCAUCGAAAUUUCCAAGGGCGACCUGAUUAUUUUGCCAGCAGGAUUGUACCACAGAUUCACACUAGAACAGGAGAAGCGUUUUGUCAAACUGGAGCGCUUUUUCACAGAGAUCACGCGCUGGACGCCAUACAACCGUCCUGCAGACGAUCAUCCUUCCCGCGUGGCGUAUCUUAAAUCAAUGGAGAAACCCAAGGAGGAAGAGAAGAGGUUCAGCUGGUGCAACUUUCUCUAAGAUUUUAAAAAAUCUUUUAUUCCUAUUUUCAUGUUUUUAUUUCUUUCAUUUUACUUAUUUAUUUUUACUAAGUUACAUUCUUAGUGUGUGGGUUUUAUUUGAUUGAAUCUGAAACAUGGCGCAUGUCUGGGUUGAAAUGGUAUUUUUUAUUUAUUUAUUUAU